GAUGAACGCUGGCGGCGUGCCUAAUACAUGCAAGUCGAGCGAACAGACGAGGAGCUUGCUCCUCUGACGUUAGCGGCGGACGGGUGAGUAACACGUGGAUAACCUACCUAUAAGACUGGGAUAACUUCGGGAAACCGGAGCUAAUACCGGAUAAUAUAUUGAACCGCAUGGUUCAAUAGUGAAAGACGGUUUUGCUGUCACUUAUAGAUGGAUCCGCGCCGCAUUAGCUAGUUGGUAAGGUAACGGCUUACCAAGGCAACGAUGCGUAGCCGACCUGAGAGGGUGAUCGGCCACACUGGAACGGAGACACGGUCAAGACGCCUACGGGAGGCAGCAGUAGGGAAUCUUCCGCAAUGGGCGAAAGCCUGACGGAGCAACGCCGCGUGAGUGAUGAAGGUCUUCGGAUCGUAAAACUCUGUUAUUAGGGAAGAACAAAUGUGUAAGUAACUAUGCACGUCUUGACGGUACCUAAUCAGAAAGCCACGGCUAACUACGUG
rnacentral:rRNA from 1 species